rnacentral:rRNA from 1 species
UACGUAGGGCGCAAGCGUUGUCCGGAAUUAUUGGGCGUAAAGAGCUCGUAGGCGGUUUGUCGCGUCUGCUGUGAAAACUCGAGGCUCAACCUCGGGCUUGCAGUGGGUACGGGCAGACUAGAGUGCGGUAGGGGUGACUGGAAUUCCUGGUGUAGCGGUGGAAUGCGCAGAUAUCAGGAGGAACACCGGUGGCGAAGGCGGGUCUCUGGGCCGAUAUCGACGCUGAGGAGCGAAAGCGUGGGGAGCGAACAGG